rnacentral:rRNA from 1 species
UGGCGAGUGGCGAACGGGUGAGUAAUACAUCGGAACGUACCCUGAAGUGGGGAUAACGUAGCGAAAGUUACGCUAAUACCGCAUAUUCUGUGAGCAGGAAAGAGGGGGAUCGCAAGACCUCUUGCUUUAGGAGCGGCCGAUGUCGGAUUAGCUAGUUGGUGAGGUAAAGGCUCACCAAGGCGACGAUCCGUAGCGGGUCUGAGAGGAUGAUCCGCCACACUGGGACUGAGACACGGCCCAGACUCCUACGGGAGGCAGCAGUGGGGAAUUUUGGACAAUGGGCGCAAGCCUGAUCCAGCCAUGCCGCGUGAGUGAAGAAGGCCUUCGGGUUGUAAAGCUCUUUCGGUGGGGAAGAAAUUGCACAGGAUAAUACCUUGUGUAGAUGACGGUACCCGCAUAAGAAGCACCGGCUAACUACGUG